rnacentral:rRNA from 1 species
AUUGAACGCUGGCGGCAGGCCUAACACAUGCAAGUCGAGCGGAUGAAGGGAGCUUGCUCCUGGAUUCAGCUGCGGACGGGUGAGUAAUGCCUAGGAAUCUGCCUUGUAGUGGGGAAUAACGUCCGGAAACGGGCGCUAAUACCGCAUAGGUCCUGAGGGAGAAAGUGGGGGAUCUUCGGACCUCACGCUAUCAGAUGAGCCUAGGUCGGAUUAGCUAGUUGGUGGGGUAAAGGCCUACCAAGGCGACGAUCCGUAACUGGUCUGAGAGGAUGAUCAGUCACACUGGAACUGAGACACGGUCCAGACUCCUACGGGAGGCAGCAGUGGGGAAUAUUGGACAAUGGGCGAAAGCCUGAUCCAGCCAUGCCGCGUGUGUGAAGAAGGUCUUCGGAUUGUAAAGCACUUUAAGUUGGGAGGAAGGGCAGUAAGUUAAUACCUUGCUGUUUUGACGUUACCAACAGAAUAAGCACCGGCUAACUUCGUG